CUCGGGCCUCGCCCCUGGCCGGGCUCUGAGGGCUCUGAAAGCACUGUCUCUCCGAGCGGCGGGGCGUGCCGCGGCCUUCGGCCGGAACGCUGAGCUGUCCUGCCGGGGCUCGAGGGUAAGCCUUCUGGUUUGUGAAAUUCAAAAUUUCUGAUUAAUAAAUUUCAUUUGAAGAGUGGGAUAUGUUUGACAUUCUGCUUUCAGACAGCUAUCAAAACUCUGAAUUCUCAGAAUACAAAGCAGUCAACUGUGUUUGGACAUGGAUCUCUCUGACAUUUAUAAAGGGGAUCUAGAUGAAAGCCAUAAAGGAGAUACUGCCCAAUCAUAAAACCGACUUCCACUGCAGACCGUGUGAAAAUAUGUAUCACACAUCCUCGGUUGCCACUCCAAGGACAAGCAUUCGAAAUAUGAAGAGGAUCGUUAGCCAAAUCUUUCCAAUAAUAGUAGAAUGGAUGUGGACCUCCUCUAAAAUGCCUCCGAGGAAAUUCCAGUCUCCCAUGGUUAUUCUGCCAUCUUAACACUAAAAUGUAUGAGAGAAAAAAAGUAUAAAACAUUAUAAAAUCUGCAUUCCUUCCUUAAUGCAUUACAAAAAAAAGUAACACUGGGCAAAACUAUCGUAGCUUACACGGUAACCAUAGCAACAUGAACAACUGCUCACUGAUAAUCUGGGUAUUAUUUUCUCUCAUCUACAAGAUGGAGAACUGCAUCAUCUGCCCGUGUCUACUUUAUCUUUAAAAGAUAUCCUGAUAAGCAUAUCCCUAUGAGGUAUUAAGCACCCUCAGACUGCAUCAGAUCAGUGGAAACUAAGGUACCUCGACUUGUAGCAGGAUUUUAAGAGCAUUAGUGAUCCAUUUGAACCAUCAUAUGAUAAAAAUGUAAGAGCAGUAUGUUAUACUCAGGACACUUAUGAAGUGUCCUAAGUGUCCUUGGAACAUCUUUUUCAGAUGUUCCAAGUCCCACAUCACAGCUGAAGUUAUGGUAAUGUCUAAUUACUGUUUCACAGUGGAAACUGGUUAUACAAAGGAACUCCAGAGGGAAUAAAGCAUCUCACUAAAAUUUCUUCGUUAAUUUAAAAAAUAUAUUUAAGCAUAUAAUUUUGUGCAGACAGACAUUUGCUCUUUGUUUGCGGAUGUCGAUGAUAAAUAAAUAGAAUUACCAUAA